rnacentral:rRNA from 1 species
CCCCAGACUCCUACGGGAGGCAGCAGUGGGGGAUAUUGCACAAUGGGGGAAACCCUGAUGCAGCGACGCCGCGUGAGUGAAGAAGUAUUUCGGUAUGUAAAGCUCUAUCAGCAGGGAAGAAGAUGACAGUACCUGACCAAGAAGCUCCGGCUAAAUACGUGCCAGCAGCCGCGGUAAUACGUAUGGAGCAAGCGUUAUCCGGAUUUACUGGGUGUAAAGGGAGCGCAGGCGGCCUUGCAAGUCUGAUGUGAAAGCCCGGGGCCCAACCCCGGGACUGCACUGGAAACUGCCGGGCUGGAGUGUCGGAGGGGCAGGCGGAAUUCCUAGUGUAGCGGUGAAAUGCGUAGAUAUUAGGAGGAACACCGGUGGCGAAGGCGGCCUGCUGGACGACGACUGACGCUGAGGCUCGAAAGCGUGGGGAGCAAACAGGAUUAGAUACCCUAGUAA